GACGAACGCUGGCGGCGUGCCUAAUACAUGCAAGUAGAACGCACAGUUUAUACCGUAGCUUGCUCCACCAUAGACUGUGAGUUGCGAACGGGUGAGUAACGCGUAGGUAACCUGCCUGGUAGCGGGGGAUAACUAUUGGAAACGAUAGCUAAUACCGCAUAAUAUUGAUUAUUGCAUGAUAAUUGAUUGAAAGAUGCUAUUGCAUCACUACCAGAUGGACCUGCGUUGUAUUAGCUAGUAGGUGAGGUAACGGCUCACCUAGGCGACGAUACAUAGCCGACCUGAGAGGGUGAUCGGCCACCCUGGGACUGAGACACGGCCCAGACUCCUACGGGAGGCAGCAGUAGGGAAUCUUCGGCAAUGGACGAAAGUCUGACCGAGCAACGCCGCGUGAGUGAAGAAGGUUUUCGGAUCGUAAAGCUCUGUUGUAAGAGAAGAACGGGUGUGAGAGUGGAAAGUUCACACUGUGACGGUAUCUUACCAGAAAGGGACGGCUAACUACGUG
rnacentral:rRNA from 1 species